GGGUUAAUACCCCGCGAAACUGACGGUACCUGCAGAAUAAGCACCGGCUAACUACGUGCCAGCAGCCGCGGUAAUACGUAGGGUGCAAGCGUUAAUCGGAAUUACUGGGCGUAAAGCGUGCGCAGGCGGUUCGGAAAGAAAGAUGUGAAAUCCCAGAGCUUAACUUUGGAACUGCAUUUUUAACUACCGAGCUAGAGUGUGUCAGAGGGAGGUGGAAUUCCGCGUGUAGCAGUGAAAUGCGUAGAUAUGCGGAGGAACACCGAUGGCGAAGGCAGCCUCCUGGGAUAACACUGACGCUCAUGCACGAAAGCGUGGGGAGCAAACAGGAUUAGAUACCCUGGUAGUCCACGCCCUAAACGAUGUCAACUAGCUGUUGGGGCCUUCGGGCCUUGGUAGCGCAGCUAACGCGUGAAGUUGACCGCCUGGGGAGUACGGUCGCAAGAUUAAAACUCAAAGGAAUUGACGGGGACCCGCACAAGCGGUGGAUGAUGUGGAUUAAUUCGAUGCAACGCGAAAAACCUUACCUACCCUUGACAUGUCUGGAAU
rnacentral:rRNA from 1 species